AAUGCAGAUGCAGCCGGCCGCGGCGGCCCCUCCGCGAUUACCUGGCGCCUCCCGGGGAAGGACGGCGUCCGGAGCGCUUCCCCUGCAGGACCUGAAGCAGAGCAGCAAGAGGAUCUAACAAACCCGCUCAGCUGCCAGCGGCCCUGCACCUGGAGGGAGGUGUAGGCAGGCACCCUACACCUGCCAGGCACUGGGCCCCGUCUCCCUGGACGCCCUGCUGCCGGGACAGCGGGCAACUGCCUGCUCCUCCGGGGCUGCCUGCCUCUGCCUGGCUCCUGCAGCCCCGGCGCUCGGGACGCUGCCUGCAGCCGGAGCCCCACGCAGGGCAGGCGCUGCCACAGGGUGUGGAGGAGAGCUCGUCCUCAGCUCCGCGUGCUCAGAGGUGACGGAAGCGAUGCUGCUGGGACACACUGGCGUUUUGCUAGGGAUGCGCGUGGGGUGAGCCCCGGCCCAGAAGAGGAAAGGUGCAGUGGCGGUCCUCACGCCUCCCUGCUGACGCUCUGCAAAAGAUGUUUGUGCCUUGGGAUCCAACGGCCAGCGUCGGUACGGGUGAGAAAAGGGAACGCGGCACUGCUCCCAGGCACAGGUCUGUCCAUGCGGCCUGAGAAACUUCCUCGCCUUGCACACUCUGAAGCGGAAAGGGAGUUUGGUUUUGUGGUCUCCACGGCAGCAUGUGAGCCUGGCCUAGGGAGGAACGCACCUCCCGGAGCAACAGCCAUCCUCUGCCCUUCCAGCAGCCCCCGAAGCUGCCCCAGGGCCUGGCAGCCGAGCCAGGUCUCCUAGGGUAGCGUUCAUCUCCAAGUCCCAGCUGCCAUUUCGUGGAGCUGGUUCAGGUGGUUACAGGGGCAGAGAGGCUAAAGUGCUGGUGGGAGGGACUGAGUCUAAAUCUUCCGCUCCCUUGAGACAAAACUCACAUCAUUAAGCUGAUUGGGCUAGGGUUGGCUCUGCGGUUACCCUCCCUAACACUCUGUUCCAGCACAGUUGUCCUCUGGAGCUGGAGACAGUCUCGUGCUCGGCCCCGAUUCAGCUUUCACCAUGUGCUCUCCUUUGGAGAGAGCAGAGAGAUGAGAGGAUGCUCCGUGGUAAAGCGUCUGUUACCUUGGCUGACGUCUACAGGAGUAGACAGUCUUCUUGGGCUUCGUGCUCAAGCAUUUGCUGCUCUGUCAGUUCUCUGCUGCCCUGGGAGCAGGACGGCUGGUGUAACUGCGAUGCCAGCUCCGCGGCUGGCACCGGGAAAGGAAGCAAGUGUCUGGGUACGGCUUCCCUGGCGAAAGGGAGGUGAAAAAGCCCAGCGGGAGCUCAGUGGAACCUUGCGCUCAGAGCUUUGUGUCUACUGGAGGGUGCAUUGGUUUGCUGCCACCCAGCACAAGCACGCCACGGGGACUGGUUCGGGACUACUCGGAACCUGGCACCCUUGCAGCACAGUCCAGAAACUCUGCAUCCUCGCAGGCAGCUGCAGUAACGUCCUGAACUCUCUGUCCUCAGCACUCUGAGCAAGGGCUGCUGCAGCUUCCUUGCCAGCCUGAAAUCCGUGUUGGACGUGGGGUUGAAAUGGCACCACUGCCUUGCUAACAUACCCAGUGGAAAAGCGGCUCCUCCCUGGAGUGUCUGGGCGCGUGGGGAGCUGUGGGUGUGUGGGGGAGGUUCUCUUGCUGAUGGGUGAGAGGGACAGCCAGUCUGUCAGGUCACUGGAUGGGUGAUGGCUCUGACUUCACGUACUAACAACAUGUCCCUUCCAGCCAUCUCCCGCUCCCUCAGCCUGGUCGUCAGGCUGCCUCACGGGUGCUGCCCCACGGCAGCAGCAGUGCAGGUGCUGGGGUCUUUGCUUGGAAGCAGGGCAGCCUCAAAGGCAUCGGGAUGCUCUCAGCUGUGGUCUGCUUGCGGAAAGCAAGCCGCUGCAGCUGCAGGAGAUCGUGUGUGUCCCUUCCCGGGAGCGUGGACUCUGGAGCUGGAGGACCCGUGGUUACGUGCUGCUGGGUAGUCCAGCUCUGCCCAGCUGCCCCUGUCCCAGAUGCUCUUUGUGCUGGUCUGACUUGGCACUUACCCACCACCAAGUAUAGCUCCGUGGCCAGUUAGAGCAAACCCCACCAGCUUUCAAACAGGAGCAGUCAACGCCUCAUUUGAUUCCGUGUCUGAGCAUGGAAAUCAGAGCAAAUCCUGGACCCAGACCUAAGUGACAAUGUGUGACUGCUGUGCUGUUGCAGCUCUUGCCCUGAAAUCGUUCCCCUCCCAUGUGUUCUUCCCCUCCCCACCCCCCCUCAUCCCCCCCACCCACUGUGCUCUCUCCCUGGGGAGCUCCUGGCUGCCCCAGGUGACUCCGUGGAGGGUGUCUGUGCCUGAAUGCUCCCUUCAGUGCCCGGGCAUGGGCUGGUUUGGGAAAGACCUCAGUGCCCUGGGAGGGGGCAGGUCUGUGUCCUGGGGGAGCUGCUGCAUGCCUGGCAGCGUACCCCCAUAGAUGGUGUUGGCUGCACACCCCCCUCAGGUCUGGGGAUGCUCAGCAUUACUCAGCUGAGGUCCCGCCUAGGAUUUGCCCUGCCUUGGGGACCUCUCACUCCCACCAGGGCUCAACCACUUUCCUGGUAAAGCCAGUAACUCCUUAAUCUAAAAUAUUUUCCCCUUCAUAGGUAAAAUUUUAAAAUUAUCUCAUAAAUUUUUUUUUGGGGGGGGGGGGGCGGGGCUGGAAUAGGGAAUGCUUCUUGAGGAAAGUGCUUUGUACAAACAAUAUGUAGAGCUGCUUUUAUGCACUCUUUCUAACCCUUAAUCACCUGAGAAGGAGGCACCUCAGGCCUGGGCACAGUGCCGCCUCACUGAAGCUGGCUGGUUAUGGGGUGCUGUGCUCACCAAGCUGGGUCCCCACACCUUCCAGACCCACCCAUGGUGGACACAGGAGGCUGCUUGUCCCUCAUCGCUUCAGACCUCUGCCCUGGCCCCAUCUCCUAAACCAGAGCUGUGCUUCGAGCUGUGGCUGAAGCAGGUCGCGUCCUUGGGAGCCGCGCCAAAGUGCUGAGCAAGCAAAACCGGACACUGUUGUUGGGGCAAGAAAGGAGAACUACCUCUUUUCGGCGGUGGCGAUGGCUGUGCAGAGGUCUGAAGGAGUGACUCUUUAGGCACACGCCACUCGGCACCCGGCAAAGGGCUUUGCAUUGGCACAAGCAGCCCUGCCUCUUCGGGCCCCUCCGGCUGUCAGUACAGCGUGCUGCGUGUACACCCUAAAGGAGACCGGCAGCAGUGCAGCACAGCAGCGAGAGCAAUAGCCGGGCGCCCAGAAGUUGCAGCAUCCCUGGUUAAACUCCUAAGGCAAGAGGCAGUAAAUGUUGCUCUCAGGCAGGCUGUUGUGCCUCAUCAAAAAGUCUUUGGAAACGGCAAUGUUUACUCAUCCUUACAAGACAAAAAUUCAAUGCCUUAAUCACUGAAAUGUCAAGUGCUGUGCUGUGUGGAGUGGAUCCCCCUCUUCCAGAGCACCUGGGAAACGGAACGCUGCAGGCGGGAGCACAGUGCCAGCCUCUCCCUCCAGAAGAAGCAGUGAAGCCUCGUUGAGUUGCCCUGCUACGCGUUUCCCGGGGAUUUUUUUUCCAUUUUAAGUUCUUUAGUCAGUAAGAUGGGGGAGCUGUUGCAUUAUACAAAAAAAUGGCAGAGACCGUUCCUGCUAGUUCCCAGGCAUUACGUCUCCUUGUAACCAGGCUGCAGCAGGCAAGAGGUGAGAAGGCUCCCCAGCUGCCAGGCGAGGCUGCAGCCAGCGCCGGCCCCCUGGGGACCCCGUGGUGCACCCCAUUAUCACCCUCGCCAGCCGGGAAGCACGGGGCGAGCAGCGCCUAAACCUGGCCCAGGCAGACAGCCUGCGGAGAGGCCCCUUCCUCGUCACUGCUUCUAAUUCUAUUUAAGGUGAACCGGCAUCGUGUUUCUAGCCAGCAUGUGUUGCCUAGCAGAGGUACCGAGCAGACUUGGUUCACCCACUGAAACCAAACCAAGUAAAGCGAUGCUUAAUAGCUGAAGUGCAUCCUUUUUCACGUUUUUUAAUUGGUUACAAAAAGCCAGUUGAACUUAGAUUUAAAUUAAUGAUGACAGGAAUUGCACUGUCUAUUUGCUUGUUCUUUUAACAGGUUUGCUUUUUGAGGAAUAAAAUAAUGCACUGACA